CAAGUGCUCUGACAACGGCGUGUGUUCGCAAAUGCUACAGAUGAUUACAUCCCACAUAACAGAAUAAUUGUGCUAAAUGAUGUAAUAAAUAAAUAUAUGACGGCAUCAAAACCAAAUAAAUACAAUUUUGUUACCCGAAAAAAGAAAUCUCUAUUACAAAUUUGGAGAGCCACAAACAAGAACAGGAUUUUCUGUGUCGACAGACUGAGAGAGAGUGCCAUCAGCUUGGAACUACGGAAUGAACGGCGGUGAUGAUCAGAUGACCUUUUCAGUACGCUUUUUGCAGGUGGGCCCCACAACCACCCUACUUUCAAUGUUCAAUGCGGUGACCCCGCGGGUCCACCUGCCACGUGUUUUCUACUGCAAGCGACCUUUUUCACAAACACACCUAUAACUUCCCACAGCUGGCAAAGGCCAUUCGGGCGUUGCUCUGCUCCAAAAAGCUACACAAUAAUUUAUAAUAAAAAAAUUAAAAGAAUAAACUAGGACAAUUUUCGGAAAGGAAGAGAAGUAAUUUUACAGGCUAAUUCUUUUCGAGUGUCGGAAAGUGUUUGAUACCAAUUGUUUUUCCAAAGACAAAGUAUGUGUGUAGAAUUUCAUAGACAUUUUCUUUCCUUUGUACUUUUUUGAAUAGAAAAAUAUAUCCAUACUGCUAGUUUAUCAAACCAAAUUCAAACAUGCUAACUUGCACGUUUCCAUAUCAUUUACAAUUUGCCUACAUUUUUCAUAUUCCCUAAACCCAUUUUUCAAUAUACUAGAGAGAAAUACUAUUAAAUUAAUAAGUUUGACAAGGUAAUAUUUCAUUUGGUAACUUUAGUAAAGAAUGCUUUUAUUAGAUUACUUUCCAAAUUGGCAAACUUCAUUACUUACUAGUCAUAGUAAGUAAUUAUAAGUCUCGUUCAUUUUUUUAGGAAACCUCGACAUCAAACUUCCACAAUUAAUAGUAAGUAUUUAUGAGUCUCACUGUCUUCUACGAAAAUCUGACACACAGUAUAACUGUAAAGGAAUUUGAAAAGGUUCUUUAACAAUUAACAAAUUUUUUUAGGACAAUUCGACAUUAAAUUUUUAUAAUUAAUAAUAAGUAUUUAUAAGUCUCGCUUGUCUUCCACGAAAGCAUGACACGCAGUGUAAAUGUAUAGGGAUUUGAAAAAGUUCUUCUCCUUUUGCAACUAACAAAAAGAAUUUCAAGAGUACUUAUCCAAACAAUUUAUUAUGUUGUAAAUUAUUUAAGUUUGGAGAAGGCAGGCAGGUGAAGGCAAAGGAAAAAGGAGUAAUUGUGGGGGAAAAAAGGGUGAAAUGGAGGGGAGGGGGGUUUUUGCUGACAUGGAAGGGAAAAAAGAGAGGACAAAAGAAAGCACUAUCUUUUGAAGAAAUGUGGGGGAAUCCAACAGCGCGAAAGAUCUCAAAGGCCACAUACAAUUUGUGGCUCACAAAUCUCCCCCUUUGAUGAUGUGGCAUUCCCCACCUCGUUAAACCCCACUACCAUUUCACCCUUCUCUUCUCUAAACUUCUCUUCCUCCCCCCCUCCCUCCUCCUCGAUCAAACUCAAAAACCACACCAACUACAGCAACAUACGCAAACACCCAAAACACUUGGAACUCUGUGUCUUUGUGUCUUUCUUCGUUUGAAACACAAAGAGAGACUCUUUUAUUGGGUUUUAAUCAAAAUUACUAGAAUGUCUUCCGAGAGUGAAGGCCCCACGAUAAAGCUCUUUGGAAAGACCAUACCUUUGGCUUUGGCGCCACUGAACCAUGAGGCUUCUUCCGCCAUUGAUGAGUCUUGUGGAGCCGUUGAUUCUGAUAUUGCUGCCACUGCUUGUGGUGGUGGUGUUCAAGACUGUUCUGAUGACAAGCAAAAGCUUUCUUCUUCAGCUACUACUAAUUCGCUUGAAGGGAACUCAACGAGAGUGGACAAGGUAUGUUUGAGUUUCAAUUAUUUUCUAUGAAAAGUUGCUGCUUUUUUUAUAUUCUAAGAACAACCCAUCAUUUAUCAGAAGCUCAGAAUUGUAAAUGGGUUGAUUUUACUACGGAGUUUGUGAUUUUGGGAUCUGAUCUCACAAUUGAAAUACUUAAUCAUCCCGAUUGUUUGUAGUUUUGUAAUCAAGAUUGUCAAUUUGGCCAGUGUUAUUCUUGGUUUUUUUUUUGUCCUUUUGGUUAUCUCGAGGUUGUCUAUUUUAUGGUCAUUGUGGGACUUGAGGAUUACGUCAUGAUAUUCGGAUGCUGUAUUUCAAGGAUGUAUUGGAUUUACGAGUCUUUUUCUGGGUUUAGUUUGAUUCUGUUCAAGUUUUCCAAAAUUGGGUUCUUUUUCAAUAUGAUUAGUUACACAAGUUUUAAGCUUUUUUGGUUAACAUUUUAAUCAUUAAGUUCUCGUUGAGGAUUAAAAGCUGUUUUAAUGGUUUGGAGAGGGAACCAGAAAGCAUGGAUUAGAAAAGGCUUAACUUUUUAAGACUGCACUUUAGCAGUAAUUAUGCUUUUGGUUAUGGGACUUUUUCCAUGGAUUGAUUUGCUUACUCUGUUUUUUCUCAGAAGCAUUUAUCCAUUUAUGUCAAAUUUGUAGAUUGACAUGGCUGGCAAAAAAUUUAGAGAGAAGAGAAAAGCGUUUUCUAUAAUUUUCUUCAUUUUGGUCAGGAUUGAAUUACUCUUGUCAGUUCAACAGCUUCUGAUACUUCCCAGAUGUGCUUUUGGUUUUUCUGCAGUGAUAUAAAUGUUUUCCCCACAAGCCUGUUCUACCUUUUCUUUCUGAACAAACUUUUCUGUUUUGCUUAGUUUUUCUAUAACAACUCCUUUGCUUUUCUUUGGCUCCCUUGUUAUCUAAUUUUAAUUCCCCUUGAUGUGUUAGUAAAUGGUAAAGUUUCUGAAUAAUAAUAAAAGUUUAUAUGUAUCGACACAUGAAAGCUGAUUGCUGUCUAAAAUGGCUAUCUACAAAGUUUUCAUAAAUCAAUGUAUUAGCUUGUGUGCCUUCAACAAUCUGUCUAUCAGUAAGGAAUAUGGAUUAUACAUCAGAUGAGAUUUUUCAUCUAAUUUUAUUCUUCUUUAGUUUUUUAUGUCUUUAAGCCUAGUUCAGGGUUCCCUACAUAUUUUUGUUUCAAUUUACUGAAAAAACAGCUACAGCACUUUUCUGAUCAGACCUUUUUGUUUGAAAUAUUAGGAAACAAUAUCAGAGAAGGAACUCACAGCUGAGAAGCAGGAAGAUGAUACCUCAUAUCAAAUCACAGAAGACUUAAAAACUCCUACAACAUCAUCUGGAAUUAGCGAGAAUCCUAAAACGCCAUCAGUUGAUAGAGAAACUUCAUCUCUGAAAUCCUCUAAUAAUGGAGACCAGAGUGAGGCCAGUUG
rnacentral:lncRNA from 1 species